rnacentral:tRNA from 1 species
GGUAAAAUGGCUGAGUGUGUAAGCGGUGGAUUGUAGCCCCAUGUAGAGAGGUUUGACUCCUCUUUUUACCA